rnacentral:rRNA from 1 species
UUGGAGGGCAAGUCUGGUGCCAGCAGCCGCGGUAAUUCCAGCUCCAAUAGCGUAUAUUAAAGUUGUUGCAGUUAAAAAGCUCGUAGUUGAAUUUCGGGAUCAAUAUUUCGGUCAUGCCGUUGGUAUGCACUGUUAUCAUUGAUUUCUCACCUUCUAAAGAACCGUGAUGCCAUUAAUUUGGUGUUACGGGGAAUUAGGACUGUUACCUUGAAAAAAUUAGAGUGUUUAAAGCAGGCUCACGCUUGAAUACAUUAGCAUGGAAUAAUGAAAUAGGACAUCCGAUUCUAUUUUGUUGGUUUCUAGGAUCGAUGUAAUGAUUAAUAGGGAUAGUUGGGGGCAUUAGUAUUCAAUUGUCAGAGGUGAAAUUCUUGGAUUUAUUGAAGACUAACUACUGCGAAAGCAUUUACCAAGGAUGUUUUCAUUAAUCAAGAACGAAAGUUAGGGGAUCGAAGACGAUCAGAUACCGUCGUAGUCUUAACCAUAAACUAUGCCGACUAGGGAUCGGAUGAUGUUAAUUUUUUAAUGACUCAUUCGGCGCCUUACGGGAAAC